GACGAACGCUGGCGGCGUGCUUAACACAUGCAAGUCGAACGAAGAGCGAUGGAAGCUUGCUUCUAUCAAUCUUAGUGGCGAACGGGUGAGUAACGCGUAAUCAACCUGCCCUUCAGAGGGGGACAACAGUUGGAAACGACUGCUAAUACCGCAUACGAUCUAAUCUCGGCAUCGAGGAUAGAUGAAAGGUGGCCUCUACAUGUAAGCUAUCACUGAAGGAGGGGAUUGCGUCUGAUUAGCUAGUUGGAGGGGUAACGGCCCACCAAGGCGAUGAUCAGUAGCCGGUCUGAGAGGAUGAGCGGCCACAUUGGGACUGAGACACGGCCCAGACUCCUACGGGAGGCAGCAGUGGGGAAUCUUCCGCAAUGGACGAAAGUCUGACGGAGCAACGCCGCGUGAGUGAUGACGGCCUUCGGGUUGUAAAGCUCUGUUAAUCGGGACGAAAGGCCUUCUUGCGAACAGUUAGAAGGAUUGACGGUACCGGAAGAGAAAGCCACGGCUAACUACGUG
rnacentral:rRNA from 1 species